rnacentral:tRNA from 1 species
UGGGGUUGUGACCCAUUGGUAGAGUGCUUGUCUGGCAUGCAUGCAUGAGGGCCUAGGUUGGAUCCCUAGCACCACAA